rnacentral:rRNA from 1 species
GCAUAUCAAUAAGCGGAGGAAAAGAAACUAACAAGGGAUUCCCCUAGUAACUGCGAGUGAAGCGGGAAAAGCUCAAAUUUAAAAUCUGGCGGUCUUCUGGCCGUCCGAGUUGUAGUCUGGAGAAGCGUUUUCCGCGUUGGACCGUGUACAAGUUUCCUGGAACGGAGCGUCAUAGAGGGUGAGAAUCCCGUCUUUGACACGGAUCCCAAUGCUUUGUGAUGCGCUCUCAAAGAGUCGAGUUGUUUGGGAAUGCAGCUCAAAAUGGGUGGUGAAUUCCAUCUAAAGCUAAAUAUUGGCGAGAGACCGAUAGCGAACAAGUACCGUGAGGGAAAGAUGAAAAGCACUUUGGAAAGAGAGUUAAACAGUACGUGAAAUUGUUGAAAGGGAAACGCUUGAAGUCAGUCGCGUCGGCCGGGACUCAGCCUUGCAUCCGCUUGGUGUACUUUCCGGUCGACGGGCCAGCAUCAGUUUUGACCGCGAGAUAAAGGCGGAGGGAAUGUGGCUCUCUCGGGAGUGUUAUAGCCCUUCGUCAGAUGUCGCGGUUGGGACUGAGGAACUCAGCACGCCUUUAUGGCCGGGGUUCGCCCACGUACGUGCUUAGGAUGCUGGCGUAAUGGCUUUAAACGACCCGUCUUGAAACACGGACCAAGGAGUCUAACAUGCCUGCGAGUGUUCGGGUGGAAAACCCGUGCGCGCAAUGAAAGUGAAAGUUGGGAUCCCUGUCGUGGGGUGCACCGACGCCCGGCCCAGACCUUUUGUGACGGAGCUGCGGUAGAGCAUGUAUGUUGGGACCCGAAAGAUGGUGAACUAUGCCUGAAUAGGGUGAAGCCAGAGGAAACUCUGGUGGAGGCUCGUAGCGAUUCUGACGUGCAAAUCGAUCGUCAAAUUUGGGUAUAGGGGGCGAAAGACUAAUCGAACCAUCUAGUAGCUGGGUUCUGCGAAG